AUUCUGGCCACAGAAGAUAACUGACAUUUCAGGUGGGCAGUGCCUACUAUCAGGAUGCUAUUAUUUAGCAUAGCAACAGCACCCACGAUAGUCACGAAAUGCUUAGUCCAGAGACAAGGAGUACAGGUGUUUUCACAUGUGCACGACUGUCUCAUUUUCAGAAUAUUGCAUAAAAAGUAACAGACUCCAUUCAGUGUACUCUGCAUCUUUUGCCUCUUUAGGCCUAAAAUUAAACAGGAAAGUCAAUACUGACUCCAACUCAAAAAGAUAGACUCUAUAAGAGCAAUAAGACUCCAUGUUGCCACAAGAAAGAUUUGAAGUCCUAUACUACACCUAUCUGCCCACCUACACGCUCACUCUAGGAUAUCGUCGAGAAAUUGUCUCAGUCUGAGAACUUACAUGGCCUCUUGUACCUAUGUAACUCAGCAUUCCAGACUUCAAUCUCAUUGCAUGCAAGGGUAGUUAAAGUCUGUGUAUCGGCCAAGCACACGUGGAUAUGUUAGUAUGUGUUCCAUCAGAAGGCCCAUAAUCAUUAAAUUGGUGGAAGGAUCCUCUGAAAUUCUGUGAGGGAGUUCAAAGACAUUAGUGAUAGAUGUCUCCACACUAGGAUGAGGACAAUCUUCAAAACACAGUGUACUUGGACUUCUGGGGAAACAUGACUCCACAUAAAUGUCUUUGAGCUAAAAACCAUUUAUCGGGAAUGCACAGCUUUCUUCCUGCUUCUGAAAGGACUGAUAAUUCAAAUGAUGGACACUACUAUAGUCGUGUUUUAUAUAACAAGCAAAGGGGAGCAAGAUGUACUUCUCUAUGUCAGGAGGCUGUAUAUCUAUAGAACUUUUGUAUUCACCAUGAAAUUACUGUGAUAGCAGUACAUUUAUCAGGAUUACAGAACAUUUUGACAGAUCAUCUCAGCAGACAAUUUUCAAGUGCCCACAAGUGGUCAGUAAUAGCAUAAUCCAAGACCUAUUUCUAAAGUGGGGUUAUUGCACCACAUACCUCUUUGCCACCAAAGAAAAUGAGAAAUAUCAAAACCUCUGCUCCAGAGAGGACAUAAUUAGGGAUUCCUAUCUGAUGCAUUCAUGAUAACAUGGUCCCUGGGCUUUGUCACAGUUACAGGGCAACUGUACCUGUAAUCGUCCUUUUGCUCCACCAAGGGCACACAUUUUAGGCUUUUGGCUCUCCGACAUUGUCUCUCAUGGGCAGAGACUUGUGUCUCACUCCUUCCUGACCAGGAGUUUUAAGGCUUCACAGAUCCAUGCCUUACACUGUGAUAGCCCGAGUAAGCAAACUGCCUAAAAAGUUGGCACUCGUGCUUUGCUUUCUCUCUGAGGAAGCUCUGACCCAUGUAUUGCCUGCGGUUGUAAGUUACCAUAAAGCUCCUUCUAAGCAAGCACAUUUAUUCUUAACAUAAAUGCAGUACAGAGAAAAUAUGUUGAAAACAGUAAAACAACCUACAAGCAUGCUAAAAAGCUUACCUGAGGUCAUCCCAACCUCAGGCUCUUGUAGGUGCCAGUCCUUCAAAACCUACAGCUGGGUUUUCCGAUGGUUACAAGGUCAUCUGUCUUAGAACCAGAACAGCUGGGUGGAUCAGCCAUUUCUUUAUAUAGCUUGGCCUUUUAUAUUACGUAAUCACCAGACAAUGGCACUCUCUUCAGGGCAUAGUUACAGAAGGCUGGGUUUUUGCAUAAUCGUAGUUGGGGAAUUUGCUUUAACUGUGCCCUAGGGAUUCCUCAGGAAAUCCACAUAAUUGUCCCAACAGUUCAUACCUGUGUGGCACGUUUUCAGUAUAUUCUUUUUGAACUCUCAGGUUCUACAUCUGUUCGCAUCUCCCCCUUCAAGAGGUUACGUACAAUCCUGGCCCACAAUAAUAUGUAAACUUAAUACAAUAAGAUCUUUCAAGAAAUUGCCAUAUCUGUCACAGGUCUGAUGUAUACUUAUCCUCCCGUUCCAUUAAUCCUGAGUGUUCUCAGAAGGCCUAGGCAGGACUCAGCCAAAAGAAUCAUGGUAGCUCCAGCAUGGCUGAGACAGUUCUGGUAUUGGGACCUAAACAAUGUCGCCAUCCAAAUUUGGAUACAGUUGCCUCUCCAGGCAGACAUAAUAUUGCAGAGAUGCAGUCAAAUCUUCCAUCCCAUUCUACUCACUCUGAACCUCACAGUAUGGAUGCUAUCUGGCUGACCUCUGUGGAAAGAUACCGUUCAUCUGAAAUACAAAGCAUCCUAAUCCAUAACAGAAGACUCAGCAAGGUGUGCUUAUGCAGCUAAAUGGAAGAAAUUCACUGCCCAGGUGCAGUAACGAUAGUAUCCCUAUCCCUGUCACAAAUACCAAACAUACUGGACUACCUUCUCUCUUUAAAGAACCCUGGAUUGUCAGUGAAUUUCCUGAGAUCAUCUAGUAGCCAACUCACUAACAGCAGUUUUCCACUCUCUAAUUCAGGGGUAGUGCAUAUUUUCAGGCCCUAUGCUAGCUAGAUUUUUGAAAAGCUGUAUGUGGGUAUGUCCCCAUGUCAUUGAUGCUCACCCUCCUUGGGAUCUAAAUAUUGUACUAAUGGGGUUAAUAGGCUCACCUGUAGAGCCACUGGCAACAUGUUCCCUGUUUUAUCUUUCCAUUAAAACAUCUUUCGAGUAGCAGUAACAUUGAUCGGAAGGGUAGAGGAGAUAGAGGCAGUCAUGGCAGGACCCCCGUGUGAUGGGUUACCCCCUACUCUGGGGUGCCACCUGAUGUACUGGAGUCCUAGUGAGCCCACCCAUUCCAGCAGCCUGGGCUCAUUCACCCUAUCCUGCUGUGCCAGGCCCUCAAGCCUCCUCUAGCACACACACACAGGUUAGGGACACACGCUUCAAACCCAAAUUUGUAUGGUCUUGCACUGCACAGAAAGCUGUACAGCAUAAGCUCAUGAAAGUUGCUCUCUCUCUCAGUGUGGAAGAAGAUAUGCACAGCUUCCCCCAGCGCCCCCAGAAUCCCUCAAAUGGUUUUAGCAUAAACAAAACAAGUUUAUUAACUACAAAGGUAGAUUUUAAGUGAUUAUAAGGAUUAGCAAACAGAUCAAAGCAGAUUACUGAGCAAAUAAAACAAAUGUGAAAACUAAGCUCAAUGCAUUAAAUAAACUAGUUACAAGUAGUAAUUUCUCACCCUAAGUGUUGUUUUAGGCAUUUCUUUCAUAGGCCAGACACCUUUUCCAGCCUGGGCUCAACUCUUAUCUCUUCCCCCCCCGCCCUUUUUUUUUUAGAUGUUCUCAGCAGUCAUCCUGGGCGAGGAUUCAGUGAAGAAUGAAUUCUGAUUAACUCACUCCCCUGUCUUAAAUAGGAUUUAUAUAUGGUGGGAAUCCUUUGUUUCCCAGUUUGGUCCCCAUCCCCUACUAAUGGAAAAAUACUAGUAGGCCAAGAUGGGGUCCAGUACCAGGUGACAUGAUCACAUGACCCUGCAGUGCCAAGGCAGCAUCCCAGGAAACUUCUCAGGAAGGUGGGAAAGUAGCAUCUUUAAAGUUCUAUUGUUCUCCCUAAUGGCCCUUUGACUGACCAGCCAGACUGAUUGCAUUUUGUCUGGUGGGCAUUCCCCAGGUGCAAAAAUUUUUGUAACUGAUACAUAAGCCAUAUUCCUAACGUCAGAUACAGAAAUUAUACAUGUAUAAAGUAGGAUAAUCAUAUUCAGUAAAUCAAAAACUUUCCAGUGAUAUCUCACAUGACCACUCUUGCAUAGAACACAUUGUAGUUAUAUUCAUAUCAUAUCUCUAUGAAUAAUACAGAGUGUAGGGUCAUACCCCAUAUACAAUUUUUCAUAAAGAGAAGGUGUCAUUGAAACAUCAACUGCAGUGAUCCCUGCCCAUAACUUAAAUCUAGUCAUCCGUCUACCUAUUCUUCCCCUAAAACUACAUUCAAAUAAAAGGCAAGGUAUAGCUUUUCACCUUAGAUGGUCUUAGAGCCCUUGCUUUCUAUAUAGAUAGAACUAAGUCACUGAGAAUAUCCCCCAGAUUUUUCAUAGUUUAUGAAUACAGGGCUAAAAGGUCAUUUCAACACAGUUUCUGACUGGAUUUCUGCUUGUAUCUAGCUGUAUUAUAUAUUAGCAAGAUAGCCCCAUCUAGGAGACUGACAGCUCACCCUACUGGGCACAAUAGAGUGAGCACUAUUACCAGAUCACUGUGGUGUUCCUGUAAGAAAAGUUCCCGUAUUGGAGAUAGGUAGGGCAGCUAUUUGCGGUGCAGUACAUGUAUUCACCCAGCAUUAUCCUGUAGUGGAGGUGUCAAGAUUCGAUGCUAAUUUUAGUGGAGCUCUCCUACAACUGCUAUUUAGGUAGACUCCUAGCACUCACCUCCAGUGAUCUAGGUCACUGCUUCUGAGUUACCAACCGUGGAAUAUAUAUGGACAAGCACUGAAAGAAAAGGAAAUGUUUACUUACAUGUAGUAGUUGUGGUUCUUUAACGUGUAUUGUCCAUGUAUAUUCCACGACCCAUCUCUCUUCCCCGCUGGUAUGAAACCUGAUAACACCUUAAUUCUGUAUUGGCGAAGGAACUGAGGGGUUGUUGGGAUUGCUCCUCCCUUUAUGUCCUUGGUAGGAGGCACGAGGACUCUCAGGUCAGCCCCCAAAAGACACUGUUGGCCAAAAUAAUCCAAACUUGAGUGCACUGGGUGCAUGCGCACCCGCCAGUGAAAUAUAUAUGGACAGCAAAUCCAGAAGGAACACAGCUACUGUAAGGCCUGGUCUACACUAUGUGUUUAUACCGAUUUUAGCAGCGUUAAACCGAUUUAAUGCACCUGUCCACACACCGAGGCCCUUUAUAUCGAUAUAAAGGGCUCUUUAAACCGGUUUCUGUACUCCUCCCUGACGAGAGGAGUAGCGCUGAAAUCGGUAUUACCGUAUCGGAUUAGGGUUAGUGUGGCCGCAAAUCGACGGUAUUGGCCUCCGGGCGGUAUUCCACAGUGCACCAUUGUGACUGCUCUGGAAAGCAAUCUGAACUCGGAUGCACUGGCUAGAUAGACAGGAAAAGCCCCGCGAACUUUUGAAUUUCAUUUCCUGUUUGCCCAGCGUGGAGAGCUCACCAGCACAGGGGACCACGCAGAGCUCAUCAGCACAGGUAAUAAUGCAGUCUCCUGAGAAUCGAAAAAGAGCUCCAGCGUGGACCGCACGGGAGGUACUGGAUCUGAUCACUAUAUGGGGAGAGAAUUCUGUGCUAACAGAACUCCGUUCCAAAAGACGAAAUGAAAAAACAUUUGAAAAAAUUUCCAAGGCCAUGAUGGAGAAAGGCCACACCAGGGACUCAGUGCAGUGCAGAGUGAAAGUUAAGGAGCUCAGACAGGCCUACCAGAAAACCAAAGAAGCAAACGAAAGGUCCGGGGCAGGGCCGAAAACAUGCCGCUUCUACGCUGAGCUGCAUGCAAUUCUAGGGGGGGUCCGCCACCACUACCCCACCCCCGUCCGUGGAUUCCGAGGUGGGGGUGGUAAUGUCAGCCAUGGCUGAGGAUUCUGCGGAUGGGGAAGAUGAGGAGGAGGAAGAGGAGGACGGCCUUGCAGAGAGCACACAGCACUCCGUUCUCUCCAACAUCCAGGAGCUUUUUCUCACCCAGACGGAAUUACCCUCCCAGCCCUCCCAAGCCACUAGCCCAAACAGUGAAGCCACGGAAGCGACCUCUGCUGCAAAUUUUUCAAGCCUCCCUACUCCAUCCCAAAGGCUAUCUCAGAUAAGGCGGCGGAAAAAAAAAGAUUCGAGACAAAAUGUUCUCGGAAAUCAUGGAAGUGACCCGCAAUGAAAGAGUUCAUCUGAAUGACUGGAAGGACGUGGUAUCAAAUUACAGGAAAGAUGCCAGUGAACGUGAGGACAGGAGGGACCAACAUGAGGAGAGGAGGGACGCUCAAGAUGAGAGGUGGCAGCAGGAAGAUCAGCGGUGGCGGAAUGCAAUGCUGGGGCUGCUGCGUGAUCAAACUGACAUCCUCCGACAUCUGGUGGAGCUUCAGGAACAGCAGCAGGGUCACAGAGUGCCGCUGCAGCCUGUGUAACCACCUUCACCCCUCACCAUGUCCAUAUCUUCCUCACCCAGAUGUAUAAGAAUGUGUGGCGGAAGGCUUCGUGCACCCGCCCACUCCAUCCCCUUGGACAGCCCAACCAAAAGACUGUCAUUACUUUGAAAUUUUUUUAGUAACCUUUUCCUUCCCUCCUAUCCUCCUCCCAGACCACACUCGGGCUACCUUGUCAGUUCUCUGCCUCUUUUUAUAAAGAAUACGUGAUUUUUAAA